UACAGAGGGGGCUAGCGUUGUUCGGAAUUACUGGGCGUAAAGCGCGCGUAGGCGGCUUUGUAAGUUAGAGGUGAAAGCCCGGGGCUCAACUCCGGAAUUGCCUUUAAGACUGCAUCGCUAGAAUCCGGGAGAGGCGAGUGGAAUUCCUGGUGUAGCGGUGGAAUGCGCAGAUAUCAGGAGGAACACCAAUAGCGAAGGCAGCUCGCUGGGACGUUACUGACACUGAGGCGCGAAAGCGUGGGGAGCGAACAGG
rnacentral:rRNA from 1 species